CCUACGGGCGGCAGCAGUGAGGAAUAUUGGUCAAUGGGCGCGAGCCUGAACCAGCCAAGUAGCGUGAAGGAUGACUGCCCUACGGGUUGUAAACUUCUUUUAUAAAGGAAUAAAGUGAGGCACGUGUGCCUUUUUGUAUGUACUUUAUGAAUAAGGAUCGGCUAACUCCGUGCCAGCAGCCGCGGUAAUACGGAGGAUCCGAGCGUUAUCCGGAUUUAUUGGGUUUAAAGGGAGCGUAGAUGGGUUGUUAAGUCAGCUGUGAAAGUUUGCGGCUCAAACGUAAAAUUGCCAUUGAUACUGGAAGUCUUGAGUACAGUUGAGGUAGGCGGAAUGCGUGGUGUAGCGGUGAAAUGCUUAGAUAUCACGAAGAACUCCGAUUGAGAAGGCAGCUUACUAAACUGCCACUGACAUUGAUGCACGAAAGUGUGGGUAUCAAACAGGAUUAGAUACCCUUGUAGUC
rnacentral:rRNA from 1 species